AUGCGUAGUCCACUUUUAAAGUUAGACUACCAAAGUAGCAUCUUUCCGUGGUGUUUACUUGUGGUUGUCUAAAUCUUUUGUAAUUUCUAUUUGAUGAGAACGAUGCUGAUUGAAAGGUUGCACUGCAAUGAACCAGGGACACGGUGAAGGGCAGUCUUAACGGGGUUCCAUACUCACACUGAAAUCGAAUGUAGGAACAAGUACCAAGAAAUUGUGAGCACAACGUUAAUAGCAGUGUGGGCAGUUUUUUUCGUGUGAACUAUAUUUCAGACUACUGUAUUUGCUUAAGUAAUAAUGGUAAGAAGUUUUCAGACGUUUGUCCCACUCUUAUGUACUGUACCAGUUCUAUCAACAUGACAUACAUCUGAUCAUGAACGGUGUGAAAUAGGCAAUGCUUAUCAGAAUGAGUUUCAUUAACUUGAGGCAUGCAUGCACUAAGGUUGCAGUAAGACCAUGCCGACUUGCCAACUCGGUGAUAGAGGGAUGUGGGCAGUAUUAUUACUUUGUGUAGGUCCUUAGUUACAGUGAACGGUUAGUGAGAAAACAAUUACAGUCUACAUAUAACUGGGGUAGAAGUAAAUGAGCAAAACGACUGGAUAACAGCUGAGGGUUUAGCACUUUAGUGCAGCUUAUGAUGUUCCAAAGUAUACAUCCAAUCACUCUGAAAACAGUGGAGUGUAUGAAGUAGGCAUAAUGUUAGGACUCUUAGCCUACGAGUGGUUUAUUAAUAAGUUGUCUCACUCAGAAAUGCCCUUGUGUACCAUAACAUCUGCUAUAGCAUAUUGUCGUCCAGUUUCAGUUUGUAGAUGAGCAACUAGAAUGAGAGGGGAUAAUGUACCGGUGUGUUGCACGCUGAAUGGAGGAUAUCAUAUUAUGCCAUUUAAAGUGAUACUAUUUCAAACGUGCAAUGUCCCAUCAUGCCAACACUGGAAUGAAUUCAAUUGCAAUGCAUCAUAGUCUAACACAACACUGAAACAAUAUAUGGUGCUAAAAUGCGUCCCAUGUCCGCGCAACCGUUUCACAUCGUCAUACUGUCUGCAACAUCCUAUAACAACUUACUAUCGAGGUAUUUCAAUGAAGGACGUUAUGUGUCUUCUCAUCUUCCAACACUAGGUUAUGUACCUCGACAGCUUUUUCCUUUUCGGUUAUCCGUAGAUAUUUUUGAACACUUGGUA